rnacentral:rRNA from 1 species
UACAGAGGAGCCAAGCGUUGUCCGGAUUUACUGGGCGUAAAGCGCACGUAGGCGGAUUUGUAAGUCAGGGGUGAAAUCCCGGGGCUCAACCUCGGAACUGCCUUUGAUACUGCAAAUCUCGAGUCCGGAAGAGGUGAGUGGAAUUCCUAGUGUAGAGGUGAAAAUUCGUAGAUAUUAGGAAGAACACCAGUGGCGAAGGCGGCUCACUGGUCCGGUACUGACGCUGAGGUGCGAAAGCGUGGGGAGCAAACAGG